AGGAGCAACAGCCCCAGUGGCAGGGCCAGCUCUGCAGCCCUGGAUUCAGCCCCCGCAGGAACUCCGGAGCUCUCCGUCUGCAGGGCCUGGAGGCUCCGGGCGGGU
rnacentral:pre_miRNA from 1 species